AAAGAAGAGUCUAGGAACCGCCCAGCGGCAAAUUUCACCGUUGGGCGGUCCAACGCAAGGAGUAGCACCAGGCGUGGACGCUGGGCGGAUUUGCGAUUAGAGGCAAACCGUCGGGCGGUGGACCCUUGGCGCCGGGCGAUGGCACGAUUAUGGGAAAACCGCCGGGCGGCGUAAGUGUGACGUCGGCCGUUUGUCUGCUGGGCUUGGGCCUGUUUUCUGUGACGCUCCUCAGCUAUAAAUAGCCCUGUUACGAUUUCAUAUUCAUUCUUUUGACAGAAGAGGGCGGCC
rnacentral:lncRNA from 1 species